rnacentral:precursor_RNA from 1 species
CACUAGGAAUACAUCUGUCAGCUGUUCUCCAUGCACGAUUUUGUAAUGUAGUCCAUCGUAAGAAUCCUGGAUGAUGUUGACGAGUUUUCUUGGUACGC